UUGGAGAGGUGGAGAAGGCUACUUACCUGUAACAGGUGGUUUUUCAAGAUGUAUGUUCCCUAUCUGUAUUCCACUAUCCUUCCUCCUUCCCCUCUGCUUCAGAUC